GACGAACGCUGGCGGCGUGCUUAACACAUGCAAGUCGAACGGAAAGGCCCUGCUUUUGUGGGGUGCUCGAGUGGCGAACGGGUGAGUAACACGUGAGUAACCUGCCCUUGACUUUGGGAUAACUUCAGGAAACUGGGGCUAAUACCGGAUAGGAGCUCCUGCUGCAUGGUGGGGGUUGGAAAGUUUCGGCGGUUGGGGAUGGACUCGCGGCUUAUCAGCUUGUUGGUGGGGUAGUGGCUUACCAAGGCUUUGACGGGUAGCCGGCCUGAGAGGGUGACCGGCCACAUGGGGACGGAGAUAGGCCCGAGACCCUGAGGGGGGCAAGCGGGGGGAAUUAUGCAAAAAGGGGGGGAGCCUUGAGGAGGCAACCCCGCGGGGGGGAGGCGGGCUUGGGGUUUGAAAACCGUUUUCGCUUGGGCAGAAGGGGGGGGGACGGAAAGGGAUAAAGAAGCACGGGCAAACCACGUC
rnacentral:rRNA from 1 species